rnacentral:rRNA from 1 species
GCCUACGGGGGGCAGCAGUGAGGAAUAUUGGUCAAUGGCCGAGAGGCUGAACCAGCCAAGUCGCGUGAGGGAAGACGGCCCUACGGGUUGUAAACCUCUUUUGUCGGGGAGCAAAGCGAGUCACGUGUGACUCAUUGAGAGUACCCGAAGAAAAAGCAUCGGCUAACUCCGUGCCAGCAGCCGCGGUAAUACGGAGGAUGCGAGCGUUAUCCGGAUUUAUUGGGUUUAAAGGGUGCGCAGGCGGAGGUGCAAGUCAGCGGUCAAAUUGCGGGGCUCAACCCCGGACUGCCGUUGAAACUGCAUCC